AAUCAGCCAACUCCCUUAUGCUGGGUCUCAGGGACACCCAAUACAGCUGCUCAGGCCCAGCCAGAUGGCAAAGGGCCCUCAACCAACCCUGGGACCAGAAUCACAAAAAGCCACCUACUUACUGGCUCCCGAGCCCAAGCUUAACAGGUGAAAUGGACCACUCUUCACCAGGAAGGGCAGGGCUGUGCCAAGCUCACCCCAGACUUCUAGGCCUGGGAGGGUAGGGUCCCAUGGAGCUGUGGGCUGCCCCCUACCCAACCUGACCUCUGCUUCCUCUCUUCCCUUCUCCCCACCUAAACAUUCCUCCACAGUGGCAAUAGCAAAGGAAAAGACAUCAACACGAUUAAAUCCCUCCGAGUCCUCCGGGUGCUACGACCUCUUAAAACCAUCAAGCGGCUGCCAAAGCUCAAGGCUGUGUUUGACUGUGUGGUGAACUCACUUAAAAACGUCUUCAACAUCCUCAUCGUCUACAUGCUAUUCAUGUUCAUCUUCGCCGUGGUGGCUGUGCAGCUCUUCAAGGGGAAAUUCUUCCACUGCACUGACGAGUCCAAAGAGUUUGAGAAAGAUUGUCGAGGCAAAUACCUCCUCUACGAGAAGAAUGAGGUGAAGGCGCGAGAUCGGGAGUGGAAGAAGUAUGAAUUCCAUUACGACAAUGUGCUGUGGGCUCUGCUGACCCUCUUCACCGUGUCCACGGGAGAAGGCUGGCCACAGGUCCUCAAGCAUUCGGUGGACGCCACCUUUGAGAACCAGGGCCCCAGCCCCGGGUACCGCAUGGAGAUGUCCAUUUUCUACGUCGUCUACUUUGUGGUGUUCCCCUUCUUCUUUGUCAAUAUCUUUGUGGCCUUGAUCAUCAUCACCUUCCAGGAGCAAGGGGACAAGAUGAUGGAGGAAUACAGCCUGGAGAAAAAUGAGAGGGCCUGCAUUGAUUUCGCCAUCAGCGCCAAGCCGCUGACCCGACACAUGCCGCAGAACAAGCAGAGCUUCCAGUACCGCAUGUGGCAGUUCGUGGUGUCUCCGCCUUUCGAGUACACGAUCAUGGCCAUGAUCGCCCUCAACACCAUCGUGCUUAUGAUGAAGUUCUAUGGGGCUUCAGUUGCUUAUGAAAAUGCCCUGAGGGUGUUCAACAUCGUCUUCACCUCCCUCUUCUCUCUGGAAUGUGUGCUGAAAGUCAUGGCUUUUGGGAUUCUGAAUUAUUUCCGCGAUGCCUGGAACAUCUUCGACUUUGUGACUGUUCUGGGCAGCAUC
rnacentral:sRNA from 1 species